rnacentral:rRNA from 1 species
UACGUAGGGUGCAAGCGUUGUCCGGAAUUAUUGGGCGUAAAGAGCUCGUAGGCGGUCUGUCGCGUCUGCUGUGAAAACUCAGGGCUUAACCCUGAGCUUGCAGUGGGUACGGGCAGACUAGAGUGCGGUAGGGGAGACUGGAAUUCCUGGUGUAGCGGUGAAAUGCGCAGAUAUCAGGAGGAACACCGGUGGCGAAGGCGGGUCUCUGGGCCGUAACUGACGCCUGGAGGAGCGGAAAGCAUGGGGAGCGAACAGG